AACCAUAGAAACCUGCGGAGUACCUGCGGAAGGAUCAUUAUAGUAUAUGGAAUCUCCAUUCUAUAAACCCACUCUGCGUAUCUUGUAACUGUUGCUUCCAUGGGACUUGGUUCCGCCACACCGGCUUCACGGCUGGUGAGCGCCCAUGGAAGGAGAAACAAAACUCUUCUUUGAAAUGUAGUCAGUCUGAACAAGUUUUUAUAAACGUUAAACUUUCAACAACGGAUCUCAGAUCGGAAG
rnacentral:misc_RNA from 1 species